rnacentral:rRNA from 1 species
CCUACGGGUGGCUGCAGUGAGGAAUAUUGGUCAAUGGACGAGAGUCUGAACCAGCCAAGUAGCGUGAAGGAUGACUGCCCAAUGGGUUGUAAACUUCUUUUAUAUGGGAAUAAAAUGUUCCACGUGUGGGAUUUUGUAUGUACCAUAUGAAUAAGGAUCGGCUAACUCCGUGCCAGCAGCAGCGGUAAUACGGAGGAUCCGAGCGUUAUCCGGAUUUAUGGGGUUUAAAGGGAGCGUAGGUGGAUUGUUAAGUCCGUUGUGAAAGUUUGCGGCUCAACCGUAAAAUUGCAGUUGAAACUGGCAGUCUUGAGUACAGUAGAGGUGGGCGGAAAUCGUGGUGUAUCGGUUAAAUGCUUAGAUAACACGAAAAAAUCCGAUUGCGAAGGCAGUUCACUGGACUGCAACUGACACUGAGGCUCGAAAGUGUGGGUAUCAAACAGGAUUAGAUACCCCAGUAGUC